rnacentral:rRNA from 1 species
CCUACGGGGGGCAGCAGUGGGAAAUAUUGGACAAUGGGGGGAACCCUGAUCCAGCCAUGCCGCGUGUGUGAAGAAGGCCCUCGGGUUGUAAAGCACUUUCAGUGAGGAAGAACGCCUGGUGGUUAAUACCCAUCAGGAAAGACAUCACUCACAGAAGAAGCACCGGCUAACUCCGUGCCAGCAGCCGCGGUAAUACGGAGGGUGCGAGCGUUAAUCGGAAUUACUGGGCGUAAAGCGCGCGUAGGUGGCUUGAUAAGCCGGUUGUGAAAGCCCCGGGCUCAACCUGGGAACGGCAUCCGGAACUGUCAAGCUAGAGUGCAGGAGAGGAAGGUAGAAUUCCCGGUGUAGCGGUGAAAUGCGUAGAGAUCGGGAGGAAUACCAGUGGCGAAGGCGGCCUUCUGGACUGACACUGACACUGAGGUGCGAAAGCGUGGGUAGCAAACAGGAUUAGAUACCCUAGUAGUC